UACCUUGCCCCGGCGCCACGCCCUCCCCGCCCCGACACGGCCGUCCAAGUACGGUCUGGUAACCCUAAGUUCACAGUGAUCGCCCGUACCCUGAGGCGUUCAUCCCCCCCCCACGCCGGGCUUUCUACAGGGGUCUUCCCCGGCUGCGCCCAAGCAAACCCCGAAGCGGGGAGGGAGGGGCCGGGUGCCGGGUUGGGGGCGGAUCCCCCCCUCCCCGGCGCUGCCUGCACCAGGGGUAGCAGAGCUUGGGGUCGGUCCUGCGUGGCCUCACCCUAUGAAUGGUUUGUCCAUGCCCUCUGCUCGUUCCGGUAUGGUCGGCAAGACACAUGCCCCAAUCUUUU
rnacentral:telomerase_RNA from 1 species